rnacentral:tRNA from 1 species
GCUGUACCUCAGUGGAAAAGCGCUUGCCUAGCAUGUACGAGGCAUUGGGUUCGAUCCUCAGCACUGCA